rnacentral:lncRNA from 1 species
CUUUGAAGUUGAUGAAUCUGCAUUAUGAAGUAAUGACUUUCCAAUAGCCGCAAAUUGUAGCUGCUUUUUUGAUGUGUAUGAGCAAAAUCCUCGAGUUCGAGUUCUCUUUUCAGGGCCAAAAACUUCAGCGAAAGCAUCAGAGUCCAUGUCAACAUAGUCCUCCAUGCCCUCUUCAUUCGAGGUUGAGCUCAUUAUUCGUUCAUGGGCAAGCUUUACUUGUUCCUGUAAGUAUUAGAACAUAUGAAAUGCCCUCUUCUUUAGAAACAUUACAGUAAAGCUAUUCAAUCCAACUGCUAUUACCAUUAUAGUUAUAUAAUCAAACCUUCGAAAAAUAGCAGUGCAUACUCACAUAUUUCUCUCGAAUAGCUUCAGGCACAGUCCCAUCAGGACGUUCACGUGUCUUUAACCAAACAUCAACACGACCAAUAUUUUAAAUUAUAUGGCAAUUAAGUUAUAAAAAUAUUUCACUUUCUCUACUUCUACAAUUGCUAACAAAAAAGUUACAAGCAAUCGAAAAGGAAAACAACACGAAUUGACAAUUUCUAGUUCUAUAUCAGAUCAGAUUCCAUGUAUUUAAAUUAGGAAAAAAAAAGGACCAAUCCUUUAUUUCUCUUACUUCUAACAAUCUCCUCUUCGUUUCAAAUAUUCGCAUUCAUAUUCCCAAAUACUUUCAGAAAUAAAAAUUAAACAUUACAAAAAAAAGAAAAAAAAAAAAAACCCCAUCGAUGGGGCAAAGAAAAUACAGAAAUAAAAAUCCUAACUUGGAUUUCACUCCUAGCUAUUCUCUAUGCCUUGAAAGAAAUAUUAUCAUCACUAAUAACAACUUGUAUGGAUAUAUGAUAAAAAUUGAUAGCACUAACCAAUAGCAGUAAACUCUGGUAGCUAGGAUCAUCCCAAGUCUAGCUUGCUAUUUGGAAAUAAAAUGUCCACACUAAUCUUUCAUUGCUUAACAGAUAUCUGUUAACAGAUUACAUACUCCCUAUCCUUGCUUAUUGCUUAUUAUCCCAGACACUUGCCCUUGAAAAUUGACUAAGUGGGGGCUUGAACUAAACGUCUAAACCAAGGAUUAAACUAUGUAAUUAAGAUUUCAAUCCUCAUAUCACCAGGAAUAGUAUAUACCAUAGCAGAGAGACAGGUAGGGAUUGAUCCAUACCACAGACACCGAUACAAACUACUGUAUAUGGAUCAAUCACAAUACUGGUGAUAUUGAGUAUUGAAACAGAGAAGUUAUAGUGGCUGGGUUAGCACUGUAUCAACAUAGUUUCAGUCUAUAAAAGAUAUCUGAAUUUCUUCUUUAACAUUUUCACACUUGUUACUUUUUAUAUAAAAAUCGAAGAAGAGUUUACCAAGGCUAACAAAACGUGAAACUCAAAGCAUGUAAUCAAGACUCAAGAGAAUACAUUAAGAACACCAAAUAUAAAAACACAUAGAAAAUCAUACAGGUUCUAUAAUUUUCAAAAAAAUACAAGAAACACUUGACAAAAAUUGAAAAUAGACAAUCUUUUUAUAAUUUUCACUAAUUAAGUUCAAAUAGAAAGUUUCAUUAAUUUCCAUUUUAAUCUCAUACAAACAACAAUUGAAGAAGAAAAAAAUAGAAUAGACAAAGGAGAAGAUCGAGGCAGCGAUGGAAAAGAUGAUGAAGAUGAGCACUUACUGUGAGAACCCCGAACACAAAGAAGAGAAGCAGCAACGAAAAAUUGAGAGGAGAGGCGACGAUUGAAAAGAGAGAGGAGAGGCAGCGGAUGAGUUUGGAGUUGGGAAGUUUAGAGUUGGGGAAGAGAGAAUUGAAGAGAAGGUUUUUAUAAAGAGAAGAGGAGAGGCAGCAGAUGAGUUUU